AGUGAACGCUGGCGGUAGGCCUAACACAUGCAAGUCGAACGGCAGCACAGUAAGAGCUUGCUCUUACGGGUGGCGAGUGGCGGACGGGUGAGGAAUACAUCGGAAUCUACUUUUUCGUGGGGGAUAACGUAGGGAAACUUACGCUAAUACCGCAUACGACCUACGGGUGAAAGCAGGGGAUCUUCGGACCUUGCGCGAUUGAAUGAGCCGAUGUCGGACUAGCUAGUUGGCGGGGUAAAGGCCCACCAAGGCGACGAUCCGUAGCUGGUCUGAGAGGAUGAUCGGCCACACUGGAGCUGGGACACGGUCCAGACUCCUACGAGAGGCAGCAGUGGGGAAUAUUGGACAAUGGGCGCAAGCCUGGUCCAGCCAUACCGCGUGGGUGGAGAAGGCCUUCGGGUUGUAAAGCCCUUUUGUUGGGAAAGAAAAGCAGCAGGUUAAUACCCCGCUGUUCUGACGGUACCCAAAGAAUAAGCACCGGCUAACUUCGUG
rnacentral:rRNA from 1 species